GACGAACGCUGGCUGCGUGCCUAAUACAUGCAAGUCGAGCGAAGUUUUUCUGGAGCUUGCACCGGACAAACUUAGCGGCGAACGGGUGAGUAACACGUAAAGAACCUGCCUCAUAGACUGGGACAACUAUUGGAAACGAUAGCUAAUACCGGAUAACAGCAUUAACUGCAUGGUUGAUGUUUAAAAGUUGGUUAUGCUAACACUAUGAGAUGGCUUUGCGGUGCAUUAGCUAGUUGGUGGGGUAAAGGCCUACCAAGGCGACGAUGCAUAUCCGACCUGAAAGGGUGAUCGGCCACACUGUGACUGACACACGGCCCACACUCCUACGGGAGGCAGCAGUAGGGAAUCUUCCUCAAUGAGCGAAAGCCUGACGGAGCAACGCCGCGUGAGUGAAGAAGGAUUUCGGGUCGUAAAGCUCUGUUGUUAGGGAAGAAUGAUUGUGUAGUAACUAUACACAGUACAGACGGAACCUAGCCAGACAGCCUCGGUUAACUACGUGCCAGCAGCCGCGGUAAUACAUACGUGGUAAGCAUUGUCCGGAAUUAUUGGGCGCAAAGCGCGCGCAUGUGGUUUAAUAAGACUGAUGUGAAAUCCCACGGCUCUACCGUGGAGGGUCAUUGGAAACUGUUAAACUUGAGUGCGCGAGAGAAGAGUGGAAUUCCUAGUGUAGCGGUGAAAUGCGUAGAGAUUAGGAGGGAACUCCAGUGGCGAACGCGGCUUUUUGGCCUGUAACUGACACUGAGGCUCGAAAGCGUGGGGAGCAAACAGGAUUAGAUCCCCUGGUAGUCCACGCCGUAAACAAUGAGUGAUAAGUGUUGGUCUCAUAAGAGAUCAGUGCUGCAGCUAACGCAUUAAUCACUCCGCCUGGGGAGUACGACCGCAAGGUUGAAACUCAAAGGAGUUGACGGGGACCCGCACAAGCGGUGGAGCAUGUGGUUUAAUUCGAAGCAACGCGAAGAACCUUACCAACUCUUGACAUACUGUGAGGACACAAGAGAUUGUGUUGUUCUGACCUUUGGUUAGACACAGGUACAGGUGGUGCAUGGUUGUCGUCAGCUCGUGUCGUGAGAUGUUGGGUUAAGUCCCGCAACGAGCGCAACCCUUAUAUCUAGUUGCCAGCAGUAAGAUGGGGACUCUAGAUAGACUGCCAGUGAUAAACUGGAGGAAGGUGGGGAUGACGUCAAAUCAUCAUGCCCCUUAUGACUUGGGCUACACACGUGGUACAAUGGAUAGGAACAAAGAGAAGCGAGCUCGCGAGAGUAAGCAAACCUCACAAACCUAUUUUCAGUUGGGAUGGUAGUCUGCAACUGGAUUACAUGAAGCGGGAAUCGCUAGUAAUCGCGAAUCAGAAUGUCGCGGUGAAUACGUUCCCGGGUCU
rnacentral:rRNA from 1 species